rnacentral:rRNA from 1 species
CCAGACUCCUACGGGAGGCAGCAGUGGGGAAUAUUGCGCAAUGGGGGCAACCCUGACGCAGCCAUGCCGCGUGAAUGAAGAAGGCCUUCGGGUUGUAAAGUUCUUUCGGUGACGAGGAAGGUUGUUGUGUUAAUAGCGCAACAAAUUGACGUUAAUCACAGAAGAAGCACCGGCUAACUCCGUGCCAGCAGCCGCGGUAAUACGGAGGGUGCGAGCGUUAAUCGGAAUAACUGGGCGUAAAGGGCACGCAGGCGGACUUUUAAGUGAGGUGUGAAAUCCCCGGGCUUAACCUGGGAAUUGCAUUUCAGACUGGGGGUCUAGAGUACUUUAGGGAGGGGUAGAAUUCCACGUGUAGCGGUGAAAUGCGUAGAGAUGUGGAGGAAUACCGAAGGCGAAGGCAGCCCCUUGGGAAUGUACUGACGCUCAUGUGCGAAAGCGUGGGGAGCAAACAGGAUUAGAUACCCUGGUAGUCCACGCUGUAAACGCUGUCGAUUUGGGGAUUGGGCUUUGAGCUUGGUGCCCGUAGCUAACGUGAUAAAUCGACCGCCUGGGGAGUACGGCCGCAAGGUUAAAACUCAAAUGAAUUGACGGGGGCCGCACAAG